AGCGGGCGUCGUAUAAUGGCAUUACCUGAGCUUCCCAAGCUCAUGACGAGGGUUCGAUUCCCUUCGCCCGCUCCAG
rnacentral:tRNA from 1 species